rnacentral:lncRNA from 1 species
AUACAUGUACCUCAGUCAGCUGGACAAAACGUUUUUGCUCAAGUCUGUACUUAUGUGACACACUUGCUAAGAAGAUGAUGAAAUGUUUGCACUUCAUUUACCAUCUUCAAUGCCACCUUCAGCUGAAAAUCAAACUAAGAAAUAGGGAGAGAACACAAUACAUUUCGCUUCAUUCUUUUCAAGAUAACAGGUAUUAUUUACCCCCACAUAGAUACAAACAACAGAAAUACUUAAACAACACUGCAUCCUCGAGCAAAGCAAACUGGACAUCAUUAGGCUCACAGCAGAUUAAGCCAUGAAAAUCAGAAAGAGCAGCCCUUGUGUUCUUUCGCUAACUACAACAGACAAUUCCUCCGACUGGGCGCUCUUCUUCGCUUUAAGAUUGAUUGCUGACAUGCAUGCCUUUCAUAAUCUUUCCUUCGCUAACUGUAUGUUUCUAUAAGUUGAACGGCACAUAAAAGGGCAAGGCGUCUUAGUUUCCCCAAACAUUGUCCCAUGAGUUGUUGCCGGCUUUUGGUGCCUCAAAAAGCUGCUGGCCAGGUCCCUCGAAUGCAGGGGCCUCAGCACCCUGAACGCGGCCUUUCUUUGACUUUGUUCGGACUCCGAGCAGGCGUAAGACAAAUCUCGCAAGCUCACCGUAAAGCAUUCCAGACCG